CAGAGGGGGCAAGCGUUAUUCGGAAUUAUUGGGCGUAAAGGGCGCGUAGGCGGCUUUUCAAGUGACGGGUGAAAUCCCUCGGCUUAACCGAGGAACUGCCUGUCAGACUGGAAGGCUUGAGACCGGGAGAGGUGAGUGGAAUUCCCAGUGUAGCGGUGAAAUGCGUAGAUAUUGGGAGGAACACCAGUGGCGAAGGCGGCUCACUGGACCGGAACUGACGCUGAGGCGCGAAAGCGUGGGGAGCAAACAGGAUUAGAUACCCUGGUAGUCCACGCCGUAAACGAUGAGUGCUUGGUGUAGCGGGUAUCGACCCCUGCUGUGCCGAAGUCAACACAUUAAGCACUCCGCCUGGGGAGUACGGUCGCAAGACUGA
rnacentral:rRNA from 1 species